rnacentral:rRNA from 1 species
CAGCCGCCGCGGGAAUACGAAGGGGGCUAGCGUUGCUCGGAAUGACUGGGCGUAAAGGGCGCGUAGGCGGUUUUGACAGUCAGAUGUGAAAUUCCUGGGCUUAACCUGGGAAUGGCAGUGGAUACUGGCUCGCUAGAGUGUGUCAGAGGAUGGUGGAAUUCCCGGUGUAGCGGUGAAAUGCGUAGAGAUCGGGAGGAACGUCAGUGGCGAAGGCGGCCAUCUGGGACAACACUGACGCUGAGGCACGAAAGCGUGGGGAGCAAACAGGAUUAGAUACCCCAGUAGUCCCUGUCUCUUAUAC